GAAAAUCUAACAAAGGUGAACAAUAAAUUAUUUUUCUAACACAUUUCAAGCUUACCUGUUUUAUACAUAUCCAAAAAAUCAAAAUAAAUGUUGAAUUGGCUAUUAAUAUUUGGCACAACUGCUAAUUACACUGGUCGAUAACUCUCUGAAACAUGUUGCAGCAGAUUCACAUUUGGCAAGAUAUAACACCUGGGUUCAUUUAUUAUUGCCAAGCAGGCUGUUGACAGGGGAGUGUGCUUUAUGACCACAGAACAGUUAACACUAAUUAGUUCUGCUGAUAAGCCGAUGGCUAAAAUCUAGCGGUCCUGGGAGUAACUGAGUAGGACUGAAUGGGUAAUAAAGUUGUUAACAAUUAGAAUUAUCAUUACAAUUCUUCCUAAACAAAGUCACGCAGUCGAUACAGCUGUACUGCUUUCGCGUUUAAGAGCAAUGUCACGUGUCAGUUAAGUACACUGUGUAAUCUACACCCUUUUGUGUCAAAACCGGAUUUAUCUUGAUUACGAAACAGACAGAGUAUGUAUGCGUGGAUUACGUUGGAUUUUAGCGCCUGAUGCCUUUGGUUAUUCAGUCUUAAUUUGUUCAAAUAUGGGACAUAAUUGUUCGUUAGGAUCUUGAAUUCGUCAAUCGGUCGACUGAAGAAAUAUACGAAAAUCAAUGCCUGACGAUAUAUAAUGGUUUCACAGUAUACUAUCUAAAUUUUUCAGGAUUUUUUAUGUCUUUUUCUUUGAAUGAUACAGUUUUACCAUACUUUCGGUUUAUGACAGCGAAUCCGCUUUUUAUACUUGUUCAGACGUGACGUCAAAUGACAAGUGACAACCUUUAUUAAAAUUAAUUUACCGAUAAAUGUAAUACAAAAUGUCGGAUUUACUGAAUUAAUGAGAUGCAUGAGUAAACAACAUUACUAUCGUUGAUUAAGUCAUAGAUUUAGUUUAAAAAUAGGUAUGACAUUAAAUCAAUUUAUAAGAUAUUAUUCUGUAUUAUUCAAAAGGGAUUAGUAAUGUUAUUAUUCAUAGUUAUUGGCAAUGAGCCUUUGUUUUACACUGUGUGCGCACUGCUAGGUGGGGUAAUGACGUAGCAAUACUACCAACUUACCAACCAUCUAAAAAGUGGUGAUAUGAGCAUAGCGAUCACUUGUCAACAACAGUCACUUUGGUCAUUUCCCUUGACUGACUGCUGUCCUCAGUUUUGACUUUAUUUACCACCCUUCUUACUGGCAUAUCAAGCUGUCUCUCUUGUUUGUAUUUACUACCCCACAUGUCUUGUUUCUGGCAAAGCUAGUGGUUUCGCUGGCCUGUUGUAAAUUCCACCUACCUGUAACCUCAAUUUUGCAAGUGCUAGUUAUCAUUUAAUUUUGCUGUUCAAUAUGAAAAUACAUUCUUUUCUUUACUGACAAAUAUUCAUGCUACUAACAUACUAGAGUUUUUUUUGAUUUUCUUUUGUACUUUGUAUUCUUUUCACAUCUUUUGGCAUCAUAGUUUGGUCAAAGCCAUUAUUUCAUUGUGUUUUUAUUUUAUGCACCCACUUAAAAAACAUCAACAAAAUAUGCCAAAAUGUUUUUAACCAGGUUUUCCGAAGGAAAAAACUGGUUAUUAGAUUGGCGAAUGCGGGCGGGCUGGCUGGCUGGCUAGCUGGCGGGCUGGCUGGCGGGCUGGCGGAAUAAGCUUGUCCGGGCCAUAACUAUGUCGUUCAUUGUCAGAUUUUAAAAUCAUUUGGCACAUUUGUUCACCAUCAUUGGACGGUGUGUCGCGCGAAAUAAUUACGUCGAUAUCUCCAAGGUCAAGUUCACACUUUGAGUUCAAAGGUCAAAAAUGGCCAUAAAUGAGCUUGUCCUGGCCAUAACUAUGUCAUUCAUUGUGAGAUUUUAAAAUCAUUUGGCACAUUUGUUCACCAUCAUGGGACGGUGUGUCCCACGAAAGAAUCACGUCAAUAUCUCCAAUGUCAAGGUCGCCACGACAUAAAAUAGAUUUAAAAAAAAAAAAAAACUUACAAAGGGGGUUAAUUUUUUUUGGUCAUUUCAAAAGUUCAGUUUGAGUUUUCUCCCUUUAUCAGAUUUUUUUUUCACAAUGAAAACCUGGUUUUGUGACAAUUUUGUCCCUUGUUUAACUAUCAUUUGUGAAACAAUUUUGAAAAGCUUUAUUAAGCACAGAAAACAUUAAAAUCAUGUUGUUUAAUAUGAACACAGAGAUAAGGAUGCUGACAUUUUUAUGUCCCACACUAUAGUAGUGGGGGACAUAUUGUUUUUGCCCUGUCUGUUGGUUGGUUGGUCUGUUGGUUGGUUGGUUGGUUGGUCUGUUGGUUGGUUUGCGCCAACUUUAACAUUUUGCAAUAACUUUUGCUAUAUUGAAGAUAGCAACUUCAUAUUUGGCAUGCAUGUGUAUCUCAUGAAGCUGCACAUUUUGAGUGGUGAAAGGUCAAGGUCAUCCUUCAAGGUCAGAGGUCAAAUAUAUGUGGCCAAAAUCGCUCAUUUUAUGAAUACUUUUGCAAUUUUGAAGAUAGCAACUUCAUAUUUGGCAUGCAUGUGUAUCUCAUGGAGCUGCACAUUUUGAGUGGUGAAAGGUCAAGGUCAAGGUCAUCCUUCAAGGUCAGAGGUCAAAUAUAUGUGGCCCAAAUCGCUUAUUUUAUGAAUACUUGUGCAAUAUUGAAGAUAGCAACUUGAUAUUUGGCAUGCAUGUGUAUCUCAUGGAGCUGCACAUCUUGAGUGGUGAAAGGUUAAGGUCAUCCUUGAAGGUCAGAGGUCAAAUAUAUGUGGCCCAAAUCGCUUAUUUUUUGCGUUAACUUUUACUUUUGAAAAAAACUUUUUUGUCAUAUAUUGUCUUUAAAUGUUUACCACAACCAAAGUUAAAGAAAAAUACACAUAGCAUAUUUGUAUGACCUGCAUGCAGAUUUUCUUAAGGAACUUUCUGAAUUCUGUUAUGAGUUUGCUCUUAUCCAGAAGUUAUUUGACAAAAUUUUUAUCAAUUGCAUUUCUAUUUAAAUAUUUGAAUUGCGCUUAUUGCUUAACUUCAGUUAGACAUUCUGGUGCAUGCACAAAAAUGAGCCUCACUCUGGGAGCAUUGUGCUUAACCCUUUGCAUGCUGGGAAAUUUGUCGUCUGCUAAAAUGUCGUCUGCUGAAUUUCUAAAAUUAGCAUUUUCUUCGAUUUUUUUGAAAGAAUACUAUCAGAAUAGCAAACAGUUUGGAUCCUGAUGAGACGCCACGUUGUGUGGCAUCUCAUCUGGAUGCAAACUGUUUGCAAAGGCCUUUAAAAUUCGUUUCCCGCACUGAAAGGGUUAUAGUGUUGUCCCAGAUUAGCCUGUGCUUUAAAAAACAAACAUUUACAGAAAGUCUCCUCUAGACACAAAUUCAGUUUUGGAGGAAAGUGUCAUUCUUGAUUAGCCCAUGUGGACUGCACAGACUUAACAGGGACGACACUAUGCACAUGCAUUAAGCCCAAUUUUUCAAGAGCAAGGCUCAUAUUCUGUUGCCAUUCAUGCUCAACGUUGUUGGUACUGGUUCCAUGCUCAUUUUUGUAUAUGUUGGUUCCAUGCUCAUUGUUUUUAUGCCCCCAGUAGGGUGGCAUAUAGCAGUUGAACUGUCCGUCAGUCUGUCUGUGCAUCCGUCCAAAAUCCAUAACAUUGGCCAUAACUUUUGCAAUAUUGAAGAUAGCAACUUGAUAUUUGGCUGUGUAUCUCAUGGAGCUGCACAUUUUGAGUGGUGAUAAAAAGUCAAGGUCAUCCUUCAAGGUCAAAGGAAAACAAUUUGUUUUUUUUUAAUUUAAAGGGGGCAUUGCGUUUCUGACAAACACAUCCCUUGUUGGUACUGGUAUCAUG